AACGAACGCUGGCGGCAUGCCUAACACAUGCAAGUCGAACGAGACCUUCGGGUCUAGUGGCGCACGGGUGCGUAACGCGUGGGAACCUGCCCUUAGGUUCGGAAUAACUCCCCGAAAGGGGUGCUAAUACCGGAUAAUGUCUUCGGACCAAAGAUUUAUUGCCUUUGGAUGGGCCCGCGUUGGAUUAGCUAGUUGGUAGGGUAAAAGCCUACCAAGGCGACGAUCCAUAGCUGGUCUGAGAGGAUGAUCAGCCACACUGGGACUGAGACACGGCCCAGACUCCUACGGGAGGCAGCAGUGGGGAAUAUUGGACAAUGGGCGAAAGCCUGAUCCAGCAAUGCCGCGUGAGUGAUGAAGGCCUUAGGGUUGUAAAGCUCUUUUACCCGGGAUGAUAAUGACAGUACCGGGAGAAUAAGCGCCGGCUAACUCCGUG
rnacentral:rRNA from 1 species